rnacentral:rRNA from 1 species
AUUGAACGCUGGCGGCAGGCCUAACACAUGCAAGUCGAGCGGAUGAAGGGAGCUUGCUCCUGGAUUCAGCGGCGGACGGGUAAGUAAUGCCUAGGAAUCUGCCUGGUAGUGGGGGAUAACGUCCGGAAACGGGCGCUAAUACCGCACACGUCAUGAGGGAGAACGUGGGGGAUCUUCGGACCUCACGCUCUCAGAUGACCCUAGGUCGGAUUAGCUAGUUGGUGGGGUAAAGGCCUACCAAGGCGACGAUCCGUAACUGGUCUGAGAGGAUGAUCAGUCACACUGGAACUGAGACACGGUCCAGACUCCUACGGGAGGCAGCAGUGGGGAAUAUUGGACAAUGGGCGAAAGCCUGAUCCAGCCAUGCCGCGUGUGUGAAGAAGGUCUUCGGAUUGUAAAGCACUUUAAUUUGGGAAGAAGGGCAGUAAGUUAAUACCUUGCUGUUUUGACGGUACCAACAGAAUAAGCACCGGCUAACUUCGUG